rnacentral:tRNA from 1 species
GUUUCCAUAGUUGAAGUCACAACAGGGGUUUUUCAAACCCCCGGUCUUGGUUAGAGCCCUGGUGGAAACC